rnacentral:sRNA from 13 species
UGGAUAUGCAAGGUGAAAGGGCUCAGGACUGGGGUUGGAUUUCUGACAGCCUGGUGCAGGCAAGUGGAUUAGAGUGUGCUUGUUGAUGGGGCUAGACGGGUUCACGGCUAUGGACAUGCAAGGCAA